UACAGAGGUCCCAAGCGUUGUUCGGAUUCACUGGGCGUAAAGGGUGCGUAGGUGGCGAGGUAAGUCGGAUGUGAAAGCUCGGAGCUCAACUCCGAAAUGGCAUUGGAAACUACCUUGCUCGAGGGUUGGAGGGGGGACUGGAAUGCUUGGUGUAGCAGUGAAAUGCGUAGAUAUCAAGCGGAACACCUGUGGCGAAAGCGGCUCUCUGGACCACAACUGACGCUGAGGCGCGAAAGCUAGGGGAGCAAACAGG
rnacentral:rRNA from 1 species